GUGCUCGCUUUGGCAGCACAUAUACUAAAAUUGGAACGAUACUGAGAAGAUUAGCAUGGCUCCUGCACAAGGAUGACACACAAAUUCGUGAAGCGUUCCAUAUUUUU
ensembl:snRNA U6 U6 spliceosomal RNA